rnacentral:rRNA from 1 species
GUGAGGAAUAUUGGUCAAUGGGCGGGAGCCUGAACCAGCCAAGUAGCGUGAAGGACGACGGCCCUACGGGUUGUAAACUUCUUUUAUAAGGGAAUAAAGUUCGCCACGCGUGGUGUUUUGUAUGUACCUUAUGAAUAAGCAUCGGCUAAUUCCGUGCCAGCAGCCGCGGUAAUACGGAAGAUGCGAGCGUUAUCCGGAUUUAUUGGGUUUAAAGGGAGCGUAGGCGGGCUUUUAAGUCAGCGGUCAAAUGUCGUGGCUCAACCAUGUCAAGCCGUUGAAACUGUAAGCCUUGAGUCUGCACAGGGCACAUGGAAUUCGUGGUGUAGCGGUGAAAUGCUUAGAUAUCACGAAGAACUCCGAUCGCGAAGGCAUUGUGCCGGGGCAGCACUGACGCUGAGGCUCGAAAGUGCGGGUAUCAAACAGGAUUAGAAACCCCAGUAGUCC